GACGAACGCUGGCGGCGUGCCUAAUACAUGCCAGUAGAACGCUGAAGAGAGGAGCUUGCUCUUCUUGGAUGAGUUGCGAACGGGUGAGUAACGCGUAGGUAACCUGCCUUUUAGCGGGGGAUAACUAUUGGAAACGAUAGCUAAUACCGCAUAACAAUAGGUGACACAUGUCAUUUUAUUGAAAGAGGCAAUUGCUCUACUACAAGAUUGACUUCCGUUGUAUUAGCUAGUAGGGUAGGUAACGGCUCACCUAUGCGACGAUACAUAGCCGACCUGAGGGGGGGGUCGGCCCAACUGGGACUGGGACCAGGCCCAGACUCCUAAGGGGGGCAGCAGUAGGGAAACUUGGGAAAUGGGGGCAACGCUGAACGAGCAACGCCGCGGGAGUGAAGAAGGUUUUCGGAUCGUAAAGAUCUGUUGUAAGGCAAGAAAGAGUGUGAGAGUGGAAAGUUCACACUGUGACGGUAGCUUACCAGAAAGCGACGGCUAACUACGUG
rnacentral:rRNA from 1 species